rnacentral:misc_RNA from 1 species
GAAAUGCGAUAAUUAAUGUGAAUUGCAGAAUUCAGUGAAUCAUCGAGUCUUUGAACGCACAUUGCGCCCCCUGGUAUUCCGGGGGGCAUGCCUGUCCGAGCGUCAUUGCUGCCCUCAAGCACGGCUUGUGUGUUGGGCUUCCGUCCCUGGCAACGGGGACGGGCCCAAAAGGCAGUGGCGGCACCAUGUCUGGUCCUCGAGCGUAUGGGGCUUUGUCACCCGCUCCCGUAGGUCCAGCUGGCAGCUAGCCUCGCAACCAAUCUUUUUAACCAGGUUGACCUCGGAUCAGGUACGGAUACCCGCUGAACUUAAGC